UUUUUAUAUUCAGUAUUUUGAGUUCAUAUACGGGAAAAGGGGGAAUAACUAUGCAAUCUUAUUACUUUGUUUCUAUUACAGGAGAAGUGUUGGUGUAUUCUUCUGUGGACCAAGUGGAUUAUCAAAUACUCUUCACCAAGCGAGCAACAAACAUUCCGCUGUGCAUAAAACUGGGGCAAAGUUCUUCUAUAAUAAAGAAAACUUU
rnacentral:lncRNA from 1 species